rnacentral:rRNA from 1 species
CGGCGGACGGGUGAGUAACACGUGGGUAACCUGCCUGUAAGACUGGGAUAACUCCGGGAAACCGGGGCUAAUACCGGAUGCUUGAUUGAACCGCAUGGUUCAAUCAUAAAAGGUGGCUUUUAGCUACCACUUACAGAUGGGCCCGCGGCGCAUUAGCUAGUUGGUGAGGUAACGGCUCACCAAGGCGACGAUGCGUAGCCCACCUGAGAGGGUGAUCGGCCACACUGGGACUGAGACACGGCCCAGACUCCUACGGGAGGCAGCAGUAGGGAAUUCUCCGCAAUGGACGAAAGUCUGACGGAACAACGCCGCGUGAGUGAUGAAGGUUUUCGGAUCGUAAAACUCUGUUGUUAGGGAAGAACCAGUACCGUUCGAAAAGGGCGGGACCUUGACGGUACCUAACCAGAAAGCCACGGCUAACUACGUGCCAGCAGCCGCGGUAAUACGUAGGUGGCAAGCGUUGUCCGGAAUUAUUGGGCGUAAAGCGCGGCGCAGGCGGUUUCUUAAGUCUGAUGUGAAAGCCCCCGGCUCAACCGGGGAGGGUCAUUGGAAACUGGGGAACUUGAGUGCAGAAGAGGAGAGUGGACUCCACGUGUAGCGGUGAAAUGCG